CAUUUGCACAAUUAUUCCAUCAACUAGAUUUUGAGGGUCUCCUGAGCAAUAAUCAUUUUUUUUUCCCACCUGUGUUUCCCUGUAGAGUCUCACACAUGGCUGGUCACAGACUAUUGGCUCAAUCAAUGUUAGCUGAUAAACAGCCUCACAUCAUGUAGACAAGCUAGUUAAUCAUUACCAAUGUCCUUCCCUCUUUAAUGUCAUACACUGAGUCACAGCCUUCCCUCAAAUACAUCACUCUCAGGGACAACAAAAUGUGUCCUUCAGUUGUAAUAAACGGUGGGAGAGUGCAGGAGAGAAAUAUGUCCCAGCAAUUUCUGGUGCCGGAUGCACACCUAAUUGCAAUAUUGACAAGAGAAAAGACGGGCUAAUUUGAGAGAGCCAGUGUGAUCUUCCAGCUGGAUUAUGCCAUUUUAAACAAGACAGCCUUGCCCACGUUGGAAAUAAGGAUGUUCAGUUUGCAGUAAAUUCUGUUUGGAGCCCAAAGUUGAGCCCAGGGACCCCAGCAGCAUAAUCAAGGCCGUGAUUGAUGAGGUGUCAGCGACUGUUAGACACAGCGUGUGACGCAUCCAGUCACAGGGGACCUGAGUGUUUGUCAUAAUGUCAAAGCACCUGCUGCUGCUGCUGCUACCUGGGGUGCACGAGUGUGUCGGGGAAAGCGAGGUGCCUGAAGUGGCCGUCCCUCCCCCAGCACCCCGCAAGUGCUCCAGAGGAAGGCCGCGGGGGCAUCUGCAGUCAGGAAAGACAAAAUGGAGCCACGCAGGGGAAAGCAGCAUGGGGUGGGGGAAGAUGGCACGUUCCCGGCGCAGGGAGAAGAAGAACAGGGAGGAGGCAAGAACUCCAGAGGGGCUUAUCCGAGUGGCAGAAGGAGAGCCCCCACUGAAAAUGCCUGUUACACACCUUCUGGGAACCGCCCUCCUCUUUCACCUCCUCCCAGCCCCAGCUGGAAUUCCCAAAUGUAGCCUAAACCAGUACCAGGCCAGCGAAUAAAGGAAAUGGAAGCUGCCAAAACAGCGAGUCUUGGUCAGAAUUUCAGAGUCAUUUCUCAGGUCUGGGUUAGAGGAUCUAAAUACAGGGGAAGUCAAGCCAGAUUGUUGCCAUCCUAGCUACUUUUUGGAAUUGGGAAGCAUGUAAAGAUUGACUCCUCUUCCUAGCAUCCUUCAAAGAGCAGGAAAAGUGGGGCAGUAAGUAUUCAGAAGCAUCUGUUUCCUGCCUGUGCCCUUCUGAGUACCAGAGGGGGCCAGCAGAACAACCUGCAUGGUCCAUAAACACGCAGGGAGGGCUGUGACUUAGGAAGCCACACUGGCAGCUGAGCCUCCCCAGGAUGAAGAUGGGCAUUCACUGAAAAGCCGUUUUUGUGUUUCUUCCAGUACUGUUAUUUUUUUUUUUAAGGUAUAACUUAAUAAAAUGUAGAUUUUUUUUCCA
rnacentral:lncRNA from 13 species